rnacentral:rRNA from 1 species
AACGAACGCUGGCGGCAGGCCUAACACAUGCAAGUCGAACGCCCUCUUCGGAGGGAGUGGCAGACGGGUGAGUAACGCGUGGGAAUCUACCCAAUACUACGGAAUAACAGUUGGAAACGACUGCUAAUACCGUAUACGCCCUUCGGGGGAAAGAUUUAUCGGUAUUGGAUGAGCCCGCGUUGGAUUAGCUAGUUGGUGGGGUAAAAGCCUACCAAGGCGACGAUCUAUAGCUGGUCUGAGAGGAUGAUCAGCCACACUGGAACUGAGACACGGCCCAGACUCCUACGGGAGGCAGCAGUGAGGAAUAUUGGACAAUGGGGGGCAACCCUGAUCCAGCCAUGCCGCGUGAGUGAUGACGGCCUUAGGGUUUAAAGCUCUUUCAGUAGUGAAGUAAUGACGGUAACUACAGAAGAAGCCCCGG